CCUACGGGAGGCAGCAGUGAGGAAUAUUGGUCAAUGGACGAGAGUCUGAACCAGCCAAGUAGCGUGAAGGAUGACUGCCCUAUGGGUUGUAAACUUCUUUUAUAUGGGAAUAAAAUGUUCCACGUGUGGGAUUUUGUAUGUACCAUAUGAAUAAGGAUCGGCUAACUCCGUGCCAGCAGCCGCGGUAAUACGGAGGAUCCGAGCGUUAUCCGGAUUUAUUGGGUUUAAAGGGAGAGUAGGUGGAUUGUUAAGUCAGUUGUGAAAGUUUGCGGCUCAACCGUAAAAUUGCAGUUGAAACUGGCAGUCUUGAGUACAGUAGAGGUGGGCGGAAUGCGUGGUGUAGCGGUGAAAUGCUUAGAUAUCACGAAGAACUCCGAUUGCGAAGGCAGUUCACUGGACUGCAACUGACACUGAGGCUCGAAAGUGUGGGUAUCAAACAGGAUUAGAUACCCCUGUAGUC
rnacentral:rRNA from 1 species